UCUCCGUUGGUGAACCAGCGGAGGGAUCAUUACAGAGUUAUCUAACUCCCAAACCAUUGUGAACUUACCAUAUGUUGCCUCGGCAGAACCUACCCUGUAGCGGGCUGCCGGCGGACCUCUAAACUCUUGUUUACCUUACGUAUUACCUCUGAGUAUAUAACAAAACAAAUGAAUCAAAACUUUCAACAACGGAUCUCUUGGUUCUGGCAUCGAUGAAGAACGCAGC
rnacentral:misc_RNA from 1 species